GAUGAACGCUGGCGGCGUGCCUAAUACAUGCAAGUCGAGCGAACAGACGCGGCGCUUGUUCCUCUGUCGUUAGCGGAGGACGGGUGAGUAACACGUGGAUAACCUACCUAUCAGUCUGGGAUAACUUCGGGAAACCGGCGCUAAUACCGGAUAAUAUAUUGAACCGCAUGGUUCAUUAGUGAAAGACGGUUUUGCUGUCUCUUCUCGAUGGUUCUGCGCCGCUUUAGCUAGUUGGUAAGUUCACGGCUUACCAAGGCAACGAUGCGUAGCCGACGUGCGAGGGUGAUCGGCCACACGGGAACUGAGACGCGGUCCAGGGUCCUACGGGAGGCAGCAGAAGGGAAUCUGCCGCAGUGGGCGAAAGCCUGACGGAGCAACGCCGCGUGAGAGAUGAAGAUCUUCGGAUCGGAAAACUCUGUUAUGAGUGAAGAACAAAUGUGUAAGGAACUAUACACGGCGUGACGGUACCUAGUCAGAAAGCCACGGCUAACUACGUG
rnacentral:rRNA from 1 species